UACAGAGGGGGCAAGCGUUGUUCGGAAUUACUGGGCGUAAAGGGCGCGUAGGCGGCCGCCUAAGUCAGACGUGAAAUCCCUCGGCUUAACCGAGGAACUGCCUGUCAGACUGGAAGGCUUGAGACCGGGAGAGGUGAGUGGAAUUCCCAGUGUAGCGGUGAAAUGCGUAGAUAUUCGCAAGAACACCAGUGGCGAAGGCGGCUCACUGGCCCAUAACUGACGCUGAGGCACGAAAGCGUGGGGAGCAAACAGG
rnacentral:rRNA from 1 species